UACAGAGGGUGCGAGCGUUGUCCGGAAUUACUGGGCGUAAAGCGCGUGUAGGCUGCUUGGAAAGUCGGAUGUGAAAGCCCUGGGCUCAACCUAGGAAGUGCAUUCGAAACUUCCAAGCUCGAGUUUCGGAGAGGAAGGCGGAAUUCUCGGUGUAGAGGUGAAAUUCGUAGAGAUCGGGAGGAACACCAGUGGCGAAGGCGACUCUCUGGUUGACUAUUGACGCUGAGACUCGAAAGCAUGGGGAGCAAACAGG
rnacentral:rRNA from 1 species